ACGUAGGUGACAAGCGUUAUCCGGAAUUACUGGGCGUAAAGCGCACGCAGGCGGUCAGAUAAGUCUGAUGUGAAACCUUCUGGCUUAACCAGAAGACGUCGUUGGAUACUGUCUGUCUUGAGGCGAUGAGAGGAAUGCGGAAUUCCGGGUGUAAUGGUGGAAUAUGUAGAUAUCCGGAGGAACAUCUGUGGCGAAAGCGGCAUUCUGGCAUUUGCCUGACGCUCAUGUGCGAAAGCGUGGGGAGCGAACGGGAUUAGAUACCCCGGUAGUCCACGCCGUAAACGAUGAAUACUAGGCGUAGGUGGUGUUAAAACCAUCUGUGCCGAAGCCAACGCAUUAAGUAUUCCGCCUGGGAAGUACGGCCGCAAGGCUA
rnacentral:rRNA from 1 species